CCCCCCCCCCCCUCCCAGAUGAAAGGCACUGGUCUUUGUUGCAAAACACCAGUAUUUAAGGACUGCUAGCUGCCAGCCGGAGAGAAUCCCCUGGAGCACUACAUUCCCCCUUUCAGCGUGUGGACAAGAGUUUGGCAUUGUGCUUUUACAGAAUGUAGAAGUCAUCUCAGAAGCCAUUUCUGUCAGCUGAGGAAAUUGGGAGCUUGAAAUUCCAAAUACGUUGCAGUAUGAAAGUAGAGGCAGCAAAACUGUCUUGGCUGUGCCAAGGACUGACACCAGGAACAUUCAAAGCCUUGUAACUGAUCUGUGUUGGUUUUUGUGGUCACAAGUUAACCUACACUAAUUUCACAGUCACGUUACAUAUUUUUACCUUCCUGAUGUCAUGCCG
rnacentral:lncRNA from 1 species